AUUAUUUCAUCUUUAAUUUAGAUAUAUUUUUUAGAUAAUAAAGAGGUACAAAAACAACCGUUACAAAACUCUACUCACCCAAUAAAAUUCAUUAUCACUAAUUUAAACUAUUUUAAUAUUCAGAAUAGAUAUAAACAAUUAUUUUCUUUAUCUCUCUCUCUCCUCUAUAAUAAAAGACAUAAAAAUAAGGGAAAUGAACUUUGUUGGAGAGUGCUGCAUCUAAUGCUCAAGAUCCUCCGGUGGGAUGUGCACAGUCCCCUUGAAUACAGAUCUACAGUUUAGCAAAGGAAAAUUUGAAGGCAUAGAACAGUAUGCUCGAAACAAGCGAAUUCAAGUUUGCAACUUUUGCAUGCUAGAGCUUCAUAGAUCCUCUCCAGUCAUGAAUAGCUUGGAUGUUGUGAUUCUGUGGAUAUCACCUGUAUUCUUGAUGCGCAUGCUCUUCUUUGGUAGCUUUUUGAUAAUUUUUAAAUUCGUUUCCAGAUUUAGGUUUAGAAAUUGACUUCACCCUGGCCAUCACGUUUAUUCUUCGGGCUGUAAAGCCAACCAAAUAACAGUGUCUGCGCCUUCCUCGAUCGUUGAGCUUUCCUGCGAAUCUGGAAUAUCGUAGUUAUUUGGUUGGCGGUUUACAGCCCAAAGAGUAGUUGACAUCAGAUGCAUUGUAUUUCGAUAGAGCUGAAGCUCCCAAGCACCUGAUGUUUUCUGCUACCAGAGGCUAUCAUUCAUCGAUCAACUACAUUGAGGCGGAUCUUCAUUCCAUGUCGAGAUUUUCUUCUUGAAUUGAUAUAACCAUAGCUGGACAGUUCAAUGCUUACAACGAGAUUCUGUUUUCAGAUUGGUUUCAAGUCAAAUUUGAAAAGGGAAGAUAACUUCA